rnacentral:rRNA from 1 species
UACGUAGGGUGCGAGCGUUAAUCGGAAUUACUGGGCGUAAAGCGUGCGCAGGCGGUUUUGUAAGACAGGCGUGAAAUCCCCGGGCUCAACCUGGGAAUUGCGCUUGUGGCUGCAAGGCUAGAGUACGUCAGAGGGGGGUAGAAUUCCACGUGUAGCAGUGAAAUGCGUAGAGAUGUGGAGGAAUACCGAUGGCGAAGGCAGCCCCCUGGGACGUGACUGACGCUCAUGCACGAAAGCGUGGGGAGCAAACAGG